UUUUUUCUCUUGCUACCGCCACAUAAGAAGUGCCCUUUGCCUCCUGCCAUGAUUCUGAGACCUUCCCAGCCUUGUGGAACUGUAUACCAUCAGAGAAAGAAUGUUGAUUUUCGCCUAUCCACAAAGCUUGGCAAGCUCUUUACUGGUAGGGGAUAAGGUCUUACUAGACUAAGUACAUGAAAUCAUUAAGUAAAACAAAAUGUUUCAUUAAAAAUGUCAAGUGGGCAGCUUAAGGUCAAGUGA